rnacentral:rRNA from 1 species
GACGAACCGUGCGAACGUUGUUCGGAUUCACUGGGCUUAAAGGGCGCGUAGGCGGGUGACCAAGUCCGGGGUGAAAUCUUCCGGCCCAACCGGAAAAGUGCCUUGGAUACUGGUCGCCUGGAGGGAGGUAGGGGCACGCGGAACUCCAGGUGGAGCGGUGAAAUGCGUAGAUAUCUGGAGGAACGCCGGUGGCGAAAGCGGCGUGCUGGACCUCUUCUGACGCUGAGGCGCGAAAGCCAGGGGAGCAAACGGG